AGCUCCAAUAGCGUAUCUUAAUGUUGUUGCAGUUAAAAAGCUCGUAGUCGAAUUUCUGAUCGGGGAGACUCCACCUAGUGGUUGUUGUCCCUAGAUCAUCCGCUUGAAAAAGUUGAUGGUGUUUUACCGCUCCUCCUCUGGAUCAAGCAUUUUACUUUGAAGAAAUUAGAGUGUUUCAGGCAGGCCAUCGCUUGAAUACACCAGCAUGGAAUAAUGGAAUAGGACUACAGUCCUUUACUGGUUAAUGAUUGUAGUAAUGAUUAAUAGGGACAGUUGGGGGCAUUCGUACUUGAUAGUCAGAGGUGAAAUUCUUCGAUUUAUCAAAGACGAACUAAUGCGAAGGCAUCUGCCAAGGAUGUUUUCAUUGAUCAAGAACGAAAGU
rnacentral:rRNA from 1 species